UACGUAGGGGGCGAGCGUUGUCCGGAUUUAUUGGGCGUAAAGCGCGCGUAGGCGGCUGUUCAAGUCGGUAGUGAAAACUCGACGCUCAACGUCGGGCUUGCUGUCGAGACUGGGCGGCUGGAGUCUGGUAGGGGGGUCUGGAAUUCCUGGUGUAGCGGUGGAAUGCGCAGAUAUCAGGAGGAACACCGGUGGCGAAGGCGGGACCCUGGGCCAGUACUGACGCUGAUGCGCGAAAGCGUGGGGAGCAAACAGGAUUAGAAACCCCAGUAGUCC
rnacentral:rRNA from 1 species